GCCGCUGCUUAAUUAAGAUAUUAUUACAUAGUAAAACACAAUCUCGACAUUUAUCUAUAUAUUUUAUGGUCUUGUGUGUCACGGAUAUGCCAUAAGAUUAUUAUAAAUAUGCUGGGUAAAAAUGCGUGUUAACAUAGGAGCGCGUAAUUCUUAAGGAUUAAUUUAAGCACGUUUGUGGUUCAGAAUGAGGAUCCUAUUGCUGUUUAUUUUGUUUCUCUGUCUUCAGGAGAACAUGUGCAGUGGAGCUUGUCCUCCUUGCUCGGAUACUUACACUUCCUGUGUGACGGGUUGUCUAGGACGCAGCAGCAUGUACACAUGUAUCGACAGCUGCAUCCGGGCAUUGAGGACAUGCAUUAGCAACUGUGUGGGAUAAAACAUGCUUCUAUGCCUUGAUUUGCCUUUAUUUGUUAUGGCCAGGAGUGUAAAGCCUAGAUAAAUAAUAAAACAUUUUCAAACUUU